AGCAGCCGCGGUAAUUCCAGCUCCAAUAGCGUAUAUUAAAGUUGUUGCAGUUAAAAAGCUCGUAGUUGAAUUUCGGGGUCAGUAGGUUGGUCAUGCCACUGGUAUGUACUGGCCUCACUGAUUCCUCCUUCCUGAUGAGCCGUAAUGCCAUUAAUUUGGUGUUGCGAGGAAUCCGGACUGUUACUUUGAAAAAUUAGAGUGUUUAAAGCAGGCUAACGCUUGAAUACAUUAGCAUGGAAUAAUGAAAUAGGACGUUCGAUCUUAUUUUGUUGGUUUCUAAGAUUGACGUAAUGAUUAAUAGGGAUAGUUGGGGGCAUUAGUAUUCAAUUGUCAGAGGUGAAAUUCUUGGAUUUAUUGAAGACUAACUACUGCGAAAGCAUUUGUCCAAGGAUGUUUUCAUUAAUCAAGAACGAAAGUUAGGGGAUCGAAGACGAUCAGAUACCGUCGUAGUCUUAACCAUAAACUAUGCCGACUAGGGAUCGGAUUGAUGUUAAUUUUUUAAUGA
rnacentral:rRNA from 1 species